rnacentral:rRNA from 1 species
GAUGUUCUAACUUAGACCCGUUAUCCGGGUUGAGGACAGUGCCUGGUGGGUAGUUUGACUGGGGCGGUCUCCUCCCAAAGAGUAACGGAGGAGCACGAAGGUGGGCUAAUCACGGUUGGACAUCGUGAGGUUAGUGCAAUGGCAUAAGCCCGCUUAACUGCGAGAAUGACGGUUCGAGCAGGUGCGAAAGCAGGUCAUAGUGAUCCGGUGGUUCUGUAUGGAAGGGCCAUCGCUCAACGGAUAAAAGGUACUCCGGGGAUAACAGGCUGAUACCGCCCAAGAGUUCAUAUCGACGGCGGUGUUUGGCACCUCGAUGUCGGCUCAUCACAUCCUGGGGCUGAAGUCGGUCCCAAGGGUAUGGCUGUUCGCCAUUUAAAGUGGUACGCGAGCUGGGUUUAGAACGUCGUGAGACAGUUCGGUCCCUAUCUGCCGUGGGCGUUGGAAGAUUGAAGGGGGCUGCUCCUAGUACGAGAGGACCGGAGUGGACGAACCUCUGGUGUUCGGGUUGUGUCGCCAGACGCAUUGCCCGGUAGCUAAGUUCGGAAUUGAUAAGCGCUGAAAGCAUCUAAGCGCGAAGCGAGCCCUGAGAUGAGUCUUCCCUGAUACUUUAAGUAUCCUAAAGGGUUGUUCGAG